GGCCCUAUAGCUCAAUGGAGAGAGCGCCGGCCUACGAAGCCGGGUCCGUUGCAGGUUCGAAUCCUGCUGGGGCCACUA
rnacentral:tRNA from 1 species